AUUGAACGCUGGCGGCAGGCUUAACACAUGCAAGUCGAGCGGGGUGAUGGUGCUUGCACUAUCACUUAGCGGCGGACGGGUGAGUAAUGCUUAGGAAGCUGCCUAUUAGUGGGGGACAACAUCUCGAAAGGGAUGCUAAUACCGCAUACGUCCUACGGGAGAAAGCAGGCGAUCACUUGUGACCUUGCGCUAAUAGAUGAGCCUAAGUCGGAUUAGCUAGUGGGUGGGGUAAAGGCCUACCAAGGCGACGAUCUGUAGCGGGUCUGAGAGGAUGAUCCGCCGCACUGGGACUGAGACACGGCCCAGACUCCUACGGGAGGCAGCAGUGGGGAAUAUUGGACAAUGGGGGGAACCCUGAUCCAGCCAUGCCGCGUGUGUGAAGAAGGCCUUAUGGUUGUAAAGCACUUUAAGCGAGGAGGAGGCUCUUUUGGUUAAUACCCAAGAUGAGUGGACGUUACUCGCAGAAUAAGCACCGGCUAACUCUGUGCCAGCAGCCGCGGUAA
rnacentral:rRNA from 1 species